rnacentral:rRNA from 1 species
CUGGCGGCGCGUCUUAAGCAUGCAAGUCGAACGGCAAGAGGUAGCAAUACCUCCUAGAGUGGCGGACUGGUGAGUAACACGUGGGUGACAUACCCUUCAGAUGGGGAUAGCUAUUAGAAAUAGUAGAUAAUACCGAAUACGAGCACAGGGGUUAGAGAUCUGUGAGGAAAGGAGCUAAGGCUCCGCUGAAGGAAUGGCCUGCGGCCCAUUAGCUAGUUGGUGAGGUAAGAGCCCACCAAGGCGAUGAUGGGUAUCCGGCCUUAGAGGGUGAACGGACACAUUGGGACUGAGAUACGGCCCAGACUCCUACGGGAGGCAGCAGCUAAGAAUAUUCCGCAAUGGACGAAAGUCUGACGGAGCGACGCCGCCGUGGAUGAAGAAGGCCGGAAGGUUGUAAAAUCCUUUUGAAACUGAAGAAUAAGCGUUGUAGGGAAUGACAGCGUGGUGACAGUAGGUUUUGAAUAAGCAACGGCUAAUUACGUGCCAGCCGCGGC